rnacentral:rRNA from 1 species
GGAAGGUGGGGAGUGACGUCAAAUACAUCAUGCCCCUUAUGACGUGGGCUACACACGUGCUACAAUGGGCGGUACAAAGGGCUGCGAACCCGCGAGGGGGAGCGAAUCCCAAAAAAGCCGCUCUCAGUUCGGAUUGCAGGCUGCAACUCGCCUGCAUGAAGCCGGAAUCGCUAGUAAUCGCGGAUCAGCAUGCCGCGGUGAAUACGUUCCCGGGCCUU